GAUAAACGCUGGCGGCGUGCUUAACACAUUCAAGUCGAACGGACGAUUCCCCUUCGGGGGAAAAGUUAGUGGCGGACGGGUGAGUAAUGCAUGAGCAACCUGCCCCUCAGAGAGGAAUAACACAGAGAAAUUUGUGCUAAUACCGCAUAACAUAUUUGAAUCGCAUGGUUUAAAUAUCAAAGGAGAAAUCCGCUGAGGGAUGGGCUCAUGUCUGAUUAGAUAGUUGGUAGGGUAACGGCCUACCAAGUCUGCGAUCAGUAGCCGGACUGAGAGGUUGAACGGCCACAUUGGAACUGAGAUACGGUCCAGACUCCUACGGGAGGCAGCAGUGGGGAAUAUUGGGCAAUGGGCGAAAGCCUGACCCAGCGACGCCGCGUGAGGGAAGAAAGGUCUUCGGAUUGUAAAACCUUUGUCAAACAGGGACGAAACAAAAUGACGGUACCUGUGGAGGAAGCCACGGCUAACUAACGUG
rnacentral:rRNA from 1 species